rnacentral:misc_RNA from 1 species
UUGGCCCUGAUUUUACAGUUGUUGAUGUUGAUGGUGAGGAUCCCCACACAGGAAUCAUUGCGUCUAUUAGCAAUGACAAUCUUGCUCUUGUGGCAUGUAUUGAUGACGAGAGACUUGAGUUUCAGGAUGGGGACUUGGUUAUAUUUUCUGAAGUGCGGGGCAUGACAGAGCUGAAUGAUGGGAAGCCUAGAAAAGUAAAAAGUGCAAGGCCAUAUUCAUUUACUAUUGAAGAUGACACCACAGAGUAUAAAGCAUAUGAAAGAGGGGGUAUCGUCACUCAGGUCAAGGAGCCUAAAGUGUUAAAGUUCAAGCCACUGCGUAAAGCAAUUAGCGAUCCUGGUGACUUUCUUCUGAGUGACUUCUCAAAGUUUGACCGCCCACCUAUUUUGCACUUGACCUUUCAGGCCCUAGAUAAGUUUGUGUCUUCAUCAGGACGUUUUCCUGUUGCUGGAUCUGAGGAAGAUGCUCAGAGGCUAAUCUCACUUGUGACUGACAUGAACAAUAGUCAAGAUGCAAAAGUUGAGAUUGACCAUGAACUUAUUCGUAACUUCUCAUUUGGUGCAAGGGCUGUGCUAAACCCAAUGGCAGCUAUGUUUGGGGGUAUCGUUGGGCAAGAAGUUGUGAAGGCUUGCUCUGGGAAG